UCAAACUUGGUCAUUUAGAGGAAGUAAAAGUCGUAACAAGGUUUCCGUAGGUGAACCUGCGGAAGGAUCAUUACAAAAGUGCCCCGGCCUUGUGCCGGUGGACAGCGAACUGCCCUCGAGAGGGGGUAUGUUUGUCAACCCAUUGUGAACCUACUACCUUUGCUUCGGCAGCACUCCUAGCGGGCAACCGCUGGGGGGUAAGGCUGCCAGAAGCCCAUAUCAAAACCAGUUGAUGAAAUGUCAUGCUGUCUGAUAACCACUUUUGAGAAAUCAAAUGUAUAUUAAAACUUUCAGCAACGGAUCUCUUGGUUCUCGCAUCGAUGAAGAACGCAGC
rnacentral:misc_RNA from 1 species